CCUACGGGUGGCAGCAGUGGGGGAUAUUGCACAAUGGGGGGAACCCUGAUGCAGCGACGCCGCGUGGGUGAAGGAGCGUUUCGGCGCGUAAAGCCCUGUCAGCAGGGAAGAAGGAGGACGGUACCUGACUAAGAAGCCCCGGCUAACUACGUGCAAGCAGCGGCGGUAAUAGGUAGGGGGAAAGAGUUAUCCGGAUUACCUGGGGGUAAAGGGGGCGCGGACGGCAGGGCAAGCCAGGGGUGAAGGCCCGGGGCCCAACCCCGGGACUGCUCUUGGAACUGCGCGGCUGGAGUGCAGGAGGGGCAGGCGGAAUUCCUGGUGUAGCGGUGAAAUGCGUAGAUAUCAGGAGGAACACCGGUGGCGAAGGCGGCCUGCUGGACUGCGACUGACGUUGAGGCCCGAAAGCGUGGGGAGCAAACAGGAUUAGAUACCCCAGUAGUC
rnacentral:rRNA from 1 species